rnacentral:rRNA from 1 species
GAUGAACGCUGGCGGCGCGCCUAACACAUGCAAGUCGAACGGUUAAAGCACCUUCGGGUGUGUAUAAAGUGGCGAACGGCUGAGUAACACGUGGGCAACCUGCCCCUCGCACCGGGAUAGCCUCGGGAAACCGUGGUUAAUACCGGAUACUCCGGGACCCCCGCAUGGGGGCGCCGGGAAAGCCCUGACGGCGAGGGAUGGGCCCGCGGCCUGUUAGCUUGUUGGCGGGGUAACGGCCCACCAAGGCGAUUAUGGGUAGCCGGGUUGAGAGACCGACCGGCCAGAUUGGGACUGAGACACGGCCCAGACUCCUACGGGAGGCAGCAGUGGGGAAUCUUGCACAAUGGGCGAAAGCCUGAUGCAGCGACGCCGCGUGCGGGACGAAGGCCUUCGGGUUGUAAACCGCUUUCAGCAGGGACGAGGCCGCAAGGUGACGGUACCUGCAGAAGAAGCCCCGGCUAACUACGUG